rnacentral:lncRNA from 1 species
AUUGUCUGAACCUAAGCUUGCUAUCCCUGUUCAGCCAACAUACAGCAGAAAAAUAUGCUAGCAACUAGGCUCGAGCAGGAGAGACGAGAAAGAGCCAUCAUUUGUAAGCGAAGAGGUCUGAGCUUCUAUUUACUGUGUGACCUAGAUAAGUCACACUUAAUCUCUGAGAGGCUGCAUCUGCAAAAUGGAAAUGAAAAUCCGUGCUCUGUCCAUCUCAGAGGUUGGGGUGACAAUCAAACACAAGUGCUCAAGAGUAUUUUGAAUGCUCCAAAGUGCCCCGUGAAAGCAAAGUGUUAUGUGUCUGAUAAGGGAGGCAGAAAGCAUUCUCACUCUCUUGCAACAAAUCUUUGAUUGUGCACACUGGAUAUAUACAUCCUGAGAAUUAACUUGUGGGAGAACAGGAAUUUUGCAAGCAGAGAACAAUUGUGACGCAAAUGAUUAAUCUGGAUGAUAGCAAUUAACCUGUUGGCCAAUUAUGAAAGAGCAGGUGCUGCUCAUGUGAUCAUUGCCUCACUUCAGGCCAUGAAGGCUUCUAGAACACGUGGGCUCUGUGAGCUGCCAAACAGGAUCCAGAGCCAAGAAGGCACCUGUCAGAAAAGGUUGGCAAAGCAAGGGCAGUUUCGUCUCUUGCUGAGAAAGAACAACGUGACUUAUGGCCCACGGAACACGCAUUGUACGUCUGCUUCUAAUAUUUCUCAAAGCAAAGAAUGCACCUUUUAAACAUAGAGAUGAAUGUCUCCCCUUCUCUGAUGCCAAUAUCAGUAUUUCUUUGAAGAUAAGCUUUUCUGCCAAGAGAACCAGGGUCAAGUUGACCUGCUGUCUGCUCCUGCUGCUAUUUGCUCUCAUCACAGUUCAUAGGAGAACCUGGAGCUUCUGUGAUGCCUGCUGGCUCCUCCCUCCACUCCUGCUCUUUGUGUCUACAACCAGCCUUGAACCUCUCCUCACUCUCUCUCUCAAUGUUUUAUUACAGGGAAACUGACAGCCAGAGAAUAUCAAGAAGCCGAAGCUUCCCAGACCCCAACUCCUUGGCUUCCUGGCACCGGAAUCCACCAUCCACCUUGGAGGCAGACAACCAAGGACACCCACGCAGCCUCCUUCCUGCAAGCAGCCUUAGAGGCCAAAUGACAAGGCCAAACGCAGGCUGGUAGGAAAGUGCUGACCAGCAAGGCCGCAUGCUCCCUCUCCCCUAACUGAAACCUCAAAUAAAAACUCCUACCUUUGUUCCUUUGAGGCAGUGGAUCUGAGUUCUAACUAACUCCCAUCUCCUCAUCUGGCUACCUUUUGAUAAAACUCUUUUCUUGCCAUAAGCCUGGUGUUCCCAUUUUUCUUUUGGUCUGUCUCUUGUGUGGCAUGUAAAAGAAACUGUGUUUGUGGCCGGUAACAAAACUAACUUUGUCAUUCAAUUGCUUUCUGGAAAUAAAACCACUUAGAUAAAACCCAAGGGAAAAAAAAGCAUAACACAAACCCUUGACACACUUCUCAUAUUACUACUACAUGAAAGACUACAGAUUUCUUAAUGCUUUCCUCUUGAGUGUACAUAUUACUUUCAGAGAAAUAUUUUCAAAUAUUUAGUUAAUAUAGAGUACAUGCACUGUGCCAGGUACUGGGGAUACAAAGAUAAAUCCAUUCUU